GUUGAAGGUGGGGCAGAUUCAGGUACAACAGGAGGACCACAUGCUGUCACUGUCGAUUUUCACUGGAGAGUCUGGACGCUCCAAGGUGGAUACCUGCCCUGUCCUGAUGGCCUGAGGAGAGGGACCUGGAAAGCAGUGUCUCUGAGGCAUGCUGCUCUGAAGACAACUCCACGUGACCACCUUUAAAGCACUCCCAACAGGCAGAUGGCGAGACUCAGCUCAAAGUCAUACCCUCGUAAGAGACAAACAGUUAUCCUAGGAUCUAAAACCAAAGCUUGGAAUCUACUCAAAAUGUCACAUGCUAUUCUCUCUUCUUCUGAAGACGUCAUCCAGUUGGGCCUGUCAAUCACCUGGCCAGGAACCCACCUGCUCCUCCCCACACUACCUACCUGCUCCUCUCCACACUACCUGCUCCUCCCCACACCAGGAAAGCUGAUUGACCUGAAGCCAUGCUAGGAGGAUGGGCAGAAUAACUAUCCC
rnacentral:lncRNA from 1 species